rnacentral:rRNA from 1 species
CAAUAGCGUAUAUUAAAGUUGUUGCAGUUAAAAAGCUCGUAGUUGGAUUUCUGGUGGGAGCGAUCGGUCUGGCGCUUAGCGCGAGUACUUGCAUCGUCUCCGGCCAUCCUUGGGGAGAGUCUGUCUGGCAUUAGGUUGUCGGGCAGAGGAUCCUCAUCGUUUACUGUGAAAAAAUUAGAGUGUUCAAAGCAGGCUUAUGCCGUUGAAUAUAUUAGCAUGGAAUAAUAAGAUAGGACUUUGGUACUAUUUUGUUGGUUUGCGCACCAAAGUAAUGAUUAAUAGGGACAGUUAGGGGUAUUCGUAUUCCGUUGUCAGAGGUGAAAUUCUUGGAUUUACGGAAGACGAACUACUGCGAAAGCAUUUACCAAGGAUGUUUUCAUUAA